GCUUACGGUUACAACUGCCACUGAGAACGCCAAUCUUCGUCUGAUCUCGGAGUUAAAGCAGGGUUCUGGCCUGGUUAGUAAACUUUGGAUGGGGACCACCUGGUAAUACCAGGUGCUGUAGCUU
rnacentral:rRNA from 1 species